CAUUAACCAUCCACUGUUCCCAUCAGUUUAAAGAAACUCUUUAGACAUCAACUCAGCAUAUUUGCAAACCAAGAAAGAACCAGCUCAAACAUGCUAGAAAGUAGUCAUCGAUGUAAUUGCUAUUUUCCCAUCGGCGGUGGAAAACGUCUGGCAAGACUAUAAUCCCAGCAUGGAAGAGACCUCCACAAGACCUGCCUGUUCAGCUGCUCAAACCAUAACUCUAAAUCCUGCUGUCCUUCUGUACUUG